rnacentral:rRNA from 1 species
UACGUAGGUGGCAAGCGUUGUCCGGAAUUAUUGGGCGUAAAGCGCGCGCAGGCGGCCUUUUAAGUCUGAUGUGAAAGCCCACGGCUCAACCGUGGAAGGUCAUUGGAAACUGUCAGGCUCGAGCACAGUAGAGGCAGGUGGAAUUCCCGGUGUAGCGGUGGAAUGCGUAGAGAUCGGGAAGAACAUCAGUGGCGAAGGCGGCCUGCUGGGCUGUUGCUGACGCUGAGGCGCGACAGCCAGGGGAGCAAACGGG